rnacentral:rRNA from 1 species
GAUAUGCUUUGGGGAGCUGUAAGUAAGCUUUGAUCCAGAGAUUUCCGAAUGGGGAAACCCAGCAUGAGUUAUGUCAUGUUAUCGAUAUGUGAAUACAUAGCAUAUCAGAAGGCACACCCGGAGAACUGAAACAUCUUAGUACCCGGAGGAAGAGAAAGAAAAUUCGAUUCCCUUAGUAGCGGCGAGCGAAACGGGAAGAGCCCAAACCAACAAGCUUGCUUGUUGGGGUUGUAGGACACUCUAUACGGAGUUACAAAGGACGACAUUAGACGAAUCAUCUGGAAAGAUGAAUCAAAGAAGGUAAUAAUCCUGUAGUCGAAAAUGUUGUCUCUCUUGAGUGGAUCCUGAGUACGACGGAGCACGUGAAAUUCCGUCGGAAUCUGGGAGGACCAUCUCCUAAGGCUAAAUACUCUCUAGUGACCGAUAGUGAACCAGUACCGUGAGGGAAAGGUGAAAAGCACCCCGGAAGGGGAGUGAAAUAGAACCUGAAACCGUGUGCUUACAAGUAGUCAGAGCCCGUUAAUGGGUGAUGGCGUGCCUUUUGUAGAAUGAACCGGCGAGUUACGAUUUGAUGCAAGGUUAAGC